AUUGCACGCUGGCGGCAGGCCUAACACAUGCAAGUCGAACGAGUGGCGGACGGGUGAGUUAUGUCUGGGAAACUGCCUGAUGGCGGGGGAUAACGAAUGGAAACGGUAGCUAAUACCGCAUACAAUCAGAUGUGCCCAGAUGGGAUUAGCGUGUUGGUGGGGUAACGGCUCACCAAGGCGACGAUCCCUAGCUGGUCUUAGAGGAGGACCAGCCACACUGGAACUGAGACAGGGUCAAGACUCCUACGGGAGGCAGCAGUGGGGAAUAUUGGACAAUGGGCGAAAGCCGGAUGCAGCCAUGCCGCUGGGUUGAAGAAGGCCUUCGGGUUGGAAAGUACUUUCAGCUGGGAGGCGUUACCCGCAGAAGAAGCACCGGCUAACUCCGUGCCAGCAGCCGCGGUAAUUC
rnacentral:rRNA from 1 species